CUCUAAGCAGAUUCUUUGUUUUAAUAUCUUUUACUAUCCCUUUAGAAAACCUUGUCUAUAAUGAAGCCACUGGUGUUACUAACUGCAGUAUACCAAGAAAUGGAAGGAGUUUCUGGAACAAUGCUGUGAUGUGACUCCCAUUUGGUGACUUCUGGCCAAACUAGUUGUAUGAUUCACUUCCUCUCAAGUUACUGAAGGUGUUUCCCAGGAAAUGUGUCACCUCGGUGUCACAAUUGCUCAGCUAUGAAACUUAAAAUUGCCCACAUACAUUAUUUGUAAACUCAAGUUUCUCAAGUAUUAGGGAACCUAAUUCCAAAUUUAACUUGACCAUGCGUUUCUGAGCUGUGGCUGUCCAUUGAGCGUGUUUGCAUUGGUACUUAGUGACAUGAGAUUUCACUUUGAAAAACUAGUAGGAGGAUGCAUUUUUGCCUCUGCAACCUUGGAAGUACACACCUCAAACUCCUAUGAAAGUCCAUCUAAAAUACAAUUUCUAUGAAAGAUUUUGAAGUUGAACUAUUUUACUUGAUUCCACCUUUUAUAUGAUAAUUCCUCUGACAAAUUUCUUUAGUUACCACUGAAAACCUGUUCAGAUAACACAAGUCUUUAAUUAGCUUUUACUAUUAGUUACUCAUGGUAUAAAGAUAUUUUGGGUAUAUGUGCUCCUUGCAUUAAAGCUUGACACUCAAUAGCUUCCCUUAAUACAGGUAUGUACUCUUUACAAGCUGUGAGGGAGACUUUAUCAUGCUCAAGGUCGUAUCUAAAGAGGUUCUAAAGGUACGGCUUGCAUCUGCACUUCUUUGACAAUUUCUGAUCAGGCUUAACUGGAGUUGCAGCUUUUGCCCACUGCUGGGGAAAAAAGCCAGUCACUGGUUCCUAACCUACACCAUGCACCUGUUCAUAGACUUGUCUCAAAUUUCUCAUCUGCAAUCUCUCCUGCAGUGCCAUAUACCCAUUCCAUUAGUAGCAAUCCAGAAGACUAAAAGAACUCUGCACCCCAAGCUAGCUGGAGACGAAAAUACCAAGCAUUUCUGCAACAGUAAUCACUGUGAAAGUAAGCAGGGACUUCAGAAACAGUCAUUCUAUCUUACGCUAUUCAGAGCAGGGAGCAAGUCCUUCCACUGUCAUCUCUUUUUCUGCUAAGUAUAUAGGGAGCCUCAGGUUCCUGAAUUUUGGGGCCUAGCACAUGCCUGGAACUAUUCGGGAAUCCUUUUUAAGUACACUUGUGUUGUGAUAUUCUGUUGAUCUUCAGAAAAAUCUGUUGUGUCUUUCUAAUCUGUUAUUAAAACUCUCACUGAGAGUGGUAGAAGUACUGAGGAAAAGAACGCUGAAAUUCAAAGUAUGCAUAAGCACUUCCAAAUGUACAGUUAUUCUAUAAUGUUCUUCUGUUAUUUUGACAGCAAUAUAAGAAAACAAAUGUCAAAAAAAAAAAAAAAAGUAGCUUUCCAACAUUUGUGUAGCUGCUUUGAAAGAUGUCCUUGCAAUUUCCCCAAUGAGCUGAUGGAUGUUCUCAGUGAAGUCUCCUCAGCAUGUAAACAGAUACAUCUCCUCUGAGGUAUUCUGCUGUAAUCUGACAGUUUUGAAACUGGAGUGCCUACUUUAGCUGGGAUUGUCUGUGGUGCCAGUGUCUAAUGUUUCUUUAACUCUUUGGAUGGCAGUAACCAGUGACAAACUUAUGAGCUGAUUUUUGUGUUAGCUCACAGAUGGACUCUUAUUUAUGCUAAUAUACAAACACUGAUUGCAGACAAAAGCUUUGCAAGAAAGUACACAUGAGCCAAUGAAGAAGACAAGGUAGUUGGGGCAGAUCCACAGAUAAUCCGACUGGCUUAGCACAGUGUGAGAGAAAAUUAAUACAUUAUAUAGAGUUUGCUUUUUUUGAAGUUGUUUUUUUUUUUUUUUUUUUAAACUGGAAUGAAACUUCAGCAGCAGAAGGGCACUUCCUUACUCAAUGACUAGUAGCAAAACAGACUUUUAUGGAACCAAAGUUGUGAAUGUGACUAUGUGCCUGUUUUCUUGCAUACGUAGAGCUAGGGCUCUACAUGAAUGAGAUCCAUGAUUUCCUGUUACACUUUACAGUUCAUUCACUUUACAUUGUUUUCUUUUUUCCUGGCAGUAUGAAAAUGGUGAUAAUGUUAUUUACCAAUGCAUGUAUUUUCUGUAAAAAUUCUGUAUGUACAAAUCUCCAAGAACUGCUGGAGAUUGGUCCACCAGAGGAAGACAGCUGUGGUAAACCUCCCCAGAAGGAUAUCAAGCCCAUGGAAGUGGAUCUACCCCAAGACUAAGAGGAGACCAUGGACCCAUAUAUGGUGCAACAAUUGCAGUGGGACACCACGCUUAACAUGACUGUGAAAAACCUGUAUUAACAGUGCAGAACUCCAGGUGUUGUAAGCGACAUGGGACAGGACACGGACUCGAUCAGCGUGCUGACGUGCAUCUAUGUCACAGGGUGAUCUCUACCUAAAAGGCCAAAAAAGGACUUUAUCUCUCCAGCUCUAAGUGACUGGAUAGUUCUCAGUGGAAAAACAAGGAAGCACUGAUGGUUAUUACAUGAGAGGUCUUACCUGAAAAUUCUCCUAAAUAAGACAUGAACUAUGUCUGCGGAUAGUCUCCUAUGCUGAGAGAAUCCAAAAAGCACAGAUGAGCUGUUAACAACUUUCCAUCUUUGUAAUAAGCUCUGGGGGAGAAGUCAGAAAGAAACAAUAACCCAUGUGGUGACCAUGGAUUACCUCCAAAUAUGGAGAAAGCCAAAGAGACUGCCCUGAAGCUAUGCGAUCAGUGCAGCCACUGGUGGCUUGUGACAAUGGUUAGAAAGAAAGAGCAAAGAGAAGGAGAUUUACAGACAUUCAGUACAAGUAGAUGACUGAGCCCAAGGUAGAACCAUGAGGCUUGGGAGCAAAACUGACAGACAAGACUUGGACAGCAACCCUCGUGAACCUGUGAAUUUAAUUUUUUUAUGCUCAGAAUGGUCUUCUAGUGUGGCUCUCUGAAUCUCCCUUGGAAUGUAUGGCAGAUGUCUGUAAUUUCCUCAGCUUGUGUUGCCUUCUAAACCAAAGCCUGGGUUUCAAUCACCUUGUGUUGCUGUGGUUUGUGCCUGCUGACUCCGGAAAAGAGAAGAGCUCAGGAUAGAUCUGCCUCCCUCUUUUUUAGGACUUAAAGAAGUUGUUACCUACUUGUCUUCAGAAUGUAUCCAUCUGGGAUAAUGUUUCCCAUUCACAUUAAUUUAUUUAUCAAUAUUGCUGUCUUCAGCUAUUUUCCUCUGCAUAUCAUUGCCACAUCAGUUUUAUUACAGAGAGGUAACUGCCGCAACACCAGCUUUAUACCUUUACCUUUUAAAAUUUUGCAGAUCUGUGGUCAAUCAAUCACUCAGUUCUUAAGAUGAGAUUCUGUUCCUCGAAUUUGAUGCCUUGGAUCAUUUUAACCUUCAUGAUGAAAUGCUGUUGUUCGAAACUUGCCAUUAUAUGUUUAAUCUUGCUAAACAGACAGUGUGAUACACGAAAUGGAAAGGACUUUUUUUAUUAUUGUUCUUUAAAUAUUGAAGGAACACUGCCCACGAAAUACAGCUAAAACUGUCUGCUCUUUCACACUCUUGGAAAUUAAUUCUUUUUUGCUUGUAUGUUCUUAUGCCAAG
ensembl:lncRNA